ACUGGUUCUCAAGAAAAGAAUUUAGUCCACCUAAAAUAAUGUCAACCUACAUAUUUUCCCCUUGUUUUAGAGCAAUUCAAAUGAGGUACAGCCCAUUUGACACAGGACCCAACCUUCACUAACGGGUAAUAUUUAAUUUACACCUACAAGUAGGCCUAAAAGCAGCCACCUUUUAAAAAGCGUCAAAGCUUAACUUCGUAUACCUUAAUUCCAAACUCCCUACAGACCCCUUUAACAAUAUUGAGAACUUCUAUAAUUCUAUAGAACCUUUAAUGCUAAAACUAGUAACAAGAAAUACCCCUCUCAUCAAUGCAAACAUAACCCAGCAAGAACCUAUCACUGGCAACUAACAGAAUUAAAUAAAUGUAGCAACCUUACUAGAAAACCCUACCUUAAACUUACUGUUAACCUAACACCAGAGCAUUUCAAGAAAGAUUAAAAGAAAAAGAAGGAACUCGGCAAACAAUUAACCUCGCCUGUUUACCAAAAACAUCGCCUCUUGCCCCUAUAAGAGGUCCAGCCUGCCCAGUGACCCUGUUCAACGGCCGCGGUAUCCUAACCGUGCAAAGGUAGCGUAAUCACUUGUUUUCUAAAUGGAGACUAGUAUGAAAGGCAUCACGAAGGUUAAACUGUCUCCUCUUUCUAAUCAGUGAACCUAAUCUCCCCGUGAAGAAGCGGGGAUUUUACUAUAAGACGAGAAGACCCUAUGGAGCUUAAAACAUCAUAACACCUGCUACAACUUACAACAUCCCGAUAUUUACCCCGCAGCACGCUGAUUAUAAGUUUUUGGUUGGGGUGACCGCGGAGAAAAACUCAUCCUCCGUAAUGAAGGGGACCUCCCUAAACAAUAAGUCACAACUUUAUGUAUCAAUAAAUUGACAUCUAUUGACCCAAUAAAUUGAUCAACGAACCAAGUUACCCUAGGGAUAACAGCGCAAUCCACUUCAAGAGCUCCUAUCGACAAGUGGGCUUACGACCUCGAUGUUGGAUCGGGGUAUCCUAGUGGUGCAGCCGCUACUAAAGGUUCGUUUGUUCAACGAUUAAAACCCCACGUGAUCUGAGUUCAGACCGGAGUAAUCCAGGUCAGUUUCUAUCUAUAAAGAGCUUUUUUCAGUACGAAAGGACCAAAAUAGCAUGGCCAAUAUUUCUACAAGCCAUAGUUGAUUACUUUUGACCCCACUCAAAAAAUUAUUAACCUAUCCCCCACCUCA
rnacentral:rRNA from 1 species